GCAGUGGUGUUUCAGUGGUAGAAUUCUCACCUUCUAUGUGGGAAACCCGAGUUCUAUUCCUGGCCAAUGCA
rnacentral:tRNA from 1 species